rnacentral:rRNA from 1 species
GACGAACGCUGGCGGCGUGCUUAACACAUGCAAGUCGAACGGAAAGGCCCUGCUUUUGUGGGGUGCUCGAGUGGCGAACGGGUGAGUAACACGUGAGUAACCUGCCCUUGACUUUGGGAUAACUUCAGGAAACUGGGGCUAAUACCGGAUAGGAGCUCCUGCUGCAUGGUGGGGGUUGGAAAGUUUCGGCGGUUGGGGAUGGACUCGCGGCUUAUCAGCUUGUUGGUGGGGUAGUGGCUUACCAAGGCUUUGACGGGUAGCCGGCCUGAGAGGGUGACCGGCCACAUUGGGACUGAGAGACGGCCCAGACUCCUACGGGAGGCAGCAGUGGGGAAUAUUGCACAAUGGGCGGAAGCAUGAUGCAGCAACGCCGCGUGCGGGAUGACGGCCUUCGGGUUGUAAACCGCUUUAGCCUGUGACGAAGCGUGAGUGACGGUAAUGGGUAAAGAAGCACCGACUAACUACGUG